GGGGAGGUGGCCGAGUUGGCCGAAGGCGCGUCCCUGCUAAGGACGUAUAGGGGUAACCCUAUCGCGGGUUCGAAUCCCGCCCUCCCCG
rfam:Fibrobacter sp. TWOS genome assembly, contig: Ga0136287_118